UUCACUUAGAAAAAUAUUGUAGUUACAAUAUUUCAAUAGGGUUUCAAUUGUAAUGAAAGUGCAGCAACAGUGAAAACAAAACUGAUUAUACCAACCAUCCCGAGGAUGUAUUUUUUAUUAAGCACAACAGAACAUUACAUGGACUUUUUGUGGAAUAGUGUAAACAUUAAACGAAGUUGAUGCUGCUUUGAACUUACAUUAUAACGUUAUUUGGGGAACAGGAUUCUUUAUUAUUUUAGUUUGUCGAGUUUUGAAUUACUAUUCACGAACUCUUGUU